rnacentral:rRNA from 1 species
UCAAGCAAGAAAGAGCACAAGGAGAAUGCCUUGGCACUAGGAGCCGAUGAAAGACGUGGUAAGCUGCGAAAAGCUUCGGGGAGGCGCAAACAGCCAUCGAUCCGGAGAUAUCUGAAUGGGGAAACCUACUUGAGCAAACCUCAAGUAUCCAUACGUGAAUCCAUAGCGUAUGGAAGGGAACGCUGUGAACUGAAACAUCUAAGUAGCAGUAGGAGGAGAAAGAAAACUCGAUUUCCUAAGUAGCGGCGAGCGAACGGGAAAGAGGCCAAACCGAAGGACCUGGUUCUUCGGGGUUGCGGACUGCAAUUAGCAUUGCUGAGAGAUAGACGAAUGGUUUUGGGAAAGCCAGCCGUAGACGGUGAAAGCCCGGUAGACGAAAUCUUGAAGCAGCGAGCAGGAUCCAGAGUACCACGAGACACGAGAAACCUUGUGGGAAGCCGGGGGGACCACCCCCCAAGCCUAAAUACUCCCUAGUGACCGAUAGUGAAGCAGUACUGUGAAGGAAAGGUGAAAAGGACCCCGGGAGGGGAGUGAAAGAGAACCUGAAACCUUGUGCUUACAAACAGUCAAAGGCCUACGGGCUGAUGGCGUACUUUUUGUAGAACGGUCCGGCGAGUUACUAAUGCCAGCGAGGUUAAGAUGUCAGAAGCAUCGGAGCCGAAGGGAAACCAAGUCUGAAUAGGGCGUAGAGUUGGUAUUAGUAGACCCGAAACCGGGUGACCUAUCCAUGUCCAGGUUGAAGGAACCGUAAAAGGUUUUGGAGGACCGAACACACAUGUGUUGAAAAACGUGGUGAUGAGGUGUGGAUAGCGGAGAAAUUCCAAUCGAACUCGGAGAUAGCUGGUUCUCCUCGAAAUAGCUUUAGGGCUAGCCUCGAGCUGGAGUCUAACGGAGGUAAAGCACUGAACUGACGCGGGGCCCAAAAAGGUUACCAACUCAUAUCAAACUAAGAAUGCCGUCAAGAUACCCUCGGGAGUCAGUCUGCGUGAGAUAAGUCGCGUGGACAAAAGGGAAAGAGCCCAGACCGACAGCUAAGGUCCCAAAGUACGUGUUAAGUGGAAAAGGAUGUGGGAUUUCAUAGACAACUAGGAUGUUGGCUUAGAAGCAGCCAUACAUUUAAAGAGUGCGUAAUAGCUCACUAGUCGAGAAAACCUGCGCCGAAAAUGUAACGGGGCUAAAACACGACACCGAAGCUACGGAUUCCUUACAAAGUAAGGAGUGGUAGAGGAGCAUCCUGCAAGGACGAAGCCAAAGUGAGAGCGAUGGUGGACGAAACAGGAGAGAGAAUGCCGGAAUGAGUAGCGAGAUACAUGUGAGAAACAUGUAGGCCGAAUAUCUAAGGAUUCCUGGGUAAAGCUAAUCUUCCCAGGGUUAGUCGGGGCCUAAGGCGAGGACGAAAGUCGUAGUCGAUGGAUAACAGGUUGAUAUUCCUGUACUACACAUAAUCAGAACUGUGGGGACGCAGGAGGAUAGGGAAACCGGGGAAUGGAAAGACCCGGUCAAGCGUAAAGCUGUGGGAGAUAGGCAAAUCCGUCUCCUGUAAGUGAAACGUGAUGAGGACUGAAAAAAAGUAAGGAAGUUUCCGAAUCCACACUGCCGAGAAAAGCCGCUAUUGCGUUAUGUGUACCCGUACCGUAAACCGACACAGGUAGAUGAGGAGAAAAUCCACAGGCCGACGGGAGAAGUGUUGUUAAGGAACUCGGCAAAAUGACCCCGUAACUUAGGGAGAAGGGGAGCCACGAAAGUGGUCACAGAAAAGAGGCUCAAGCAACUGUUUAGCAAAAACACAGGUCUCUGCUAAACCGAAAGGUGAAGUAUAGGGGCUGACACCUGCCCGGUGCCGGAAGGUUAAGAGGAGGAGUGAGAGCUCCGAAUUGAAGCCCCGGUAAACGGCGGCCGUAACUAUAACGGUCCUAAGGUAGCGAAAUUCCUUGUCGGGUAAGUUCCG